UAGGGAAUAUUGGUCAAUGGACGCAAGUCUGAACCAGCCAUGCCGCGUGCAGGAUGAAGGCCCUCUGGGUUGUAAACUGCUUUUGAUAGGGAGCAAAUGCCACUUGCGAGUGGAGCUGAGAGUACCUAUAGAAUAAGCACCGGCUAACUCCGUGCCAGCAGCCGCGGUAAUACGGAGGGUGCAAGCGUUGUCCGGAUUUAUUGGGUUUAAAGGGUGCGUAGGCGGCUCAAUAAGUCAGUGGUGAAAGCCUCCAGCUUAACUGGAGAACUGCCAUUGAUACUGUUGAGCUUGAGUAUAGUUGAGGUAGGCGGAAUUGACAGUGUAGCGGUGAAAUGCUUAGAUAUUGUCAAGAACACCGAUUGCGAAGGCAGCUUACUAAGCUAUAACUGACGCUGAGGCA
rnacentral:rRNA from 1 species